GGAAGUAAAAGUCGUAACAAGGUCUCCGUUGGUGAACCAGCGGAGGGAUCAUUACCGAGUUUACAACUCCCAAACCCAAUGUGAACCAUACCAAACUGUUGCCUCGGCGGGGUCACGCCCCGGGUGCGUCGCAGCCCCGGAACCAGGCGCCCGCCGGAGGGACCAACCAAACUCUUUUCUGUAGUCCCCUCGCGGACGUUAUUUCUUACAGCUCUGAGCAAAAAUUCAAAAUGAAUCAAAACUUCCAACAACGGAUCUCUUGGUUCUGGCAUCGAUGAAGAACGCAGCGAAAUGCGAUAAGUAAUGUGAAUUGCAGAAUUCAGUGAAUCAUCGAAUCUUUGAACGCACAUUGCGCCCGCCAGUAUUCUGGCGGGCAUGCCUGUCCGAGCGUCAUUUCAACCCUCGAACCCCUCCGGGGGGUCGGCGUUGGGGACCUCGGGAGCCCCUAAGACGGGAUCCCGGCCCCGAAAUACAGUGGCGGUCUCGCCGCAGCCUCUCCUGCGCAGUAGUUUGCACAACUCGCACCGGGAGCGCGGCGCGUCCACGUCCGUAAAACACCCAACUUUCUGAAAUGUUGACCUCGGAUCAGGUAGGAAUACCCGCUGAACUUAAGCAUAUCAAUAAGCGGAGGA
rnacentral:rRNA from 1 species